GAUGAACGCUGGCGGCGUGCCUUAUACAUGCAAGUCGAGCGAACGGACGAGAAGCUUGCUUCUCUGAUGUUAGCGGCGGACGGGUGAGUAACACGUGGAUAACCUACCUAUAAGACUGGGAUAACUUCGGGAAACCGUAGCUAAUACCGGAUAAUAUUUUGAACCGCAUGGUUCAAAAGUGAAAGACGGUCUUGCUGUCACUUAUAGAUGGAUCCGCGCUGCAUUAGCUAGUUGGUAAGGUAACGGCUUACCAAGGCAACGAUGCAUAGCCGACCUGAGAGGGUGAUCGGCCACACUGGAACUGAGACACGGUCCAGACUCCUACGGGAGGCAGCAGUAGGGAAUCUUCCGCAAUGGGCGAAAGCCUGACGGAGCAACGCCGCGUGAGUGAUGAAGGUCUUCGGAUCGUAAAACUCUGUUAUUAGGGAAGAACAUAUGUGUAAGUAACUGUGCACAUCUUGACGGUACCUAAUCAGAAAGCCACGGCUAACUACGUG
rnacentral:rRNA from 1 species